CCGGGCGCACGGGGUGAGUAACACGUAUGGAACCUGCCCUAUGCAGGGGGAUAAGCGGAAGAAAUUCCGUCUAAUACCGCAUAACACCUUUAGGAGACAUCUUCUUGGGGGUCAAAGGAGGCGACUCCGGCAUAGGAUGGCCAUGCGUCGCAUUAGCUAGUCGGCGGGGUAACGGCCCACCGAGGCGACGAUGUCUAGGGGUUCUGAGAGGAAGGUCCCCCACACUGGUACUGAGACACGGACCAGACUCCUACGGAAGGCAGCAG
rnacentral:rRNA from 1 species